AGUACUGAAGCCCUAAAACAUCGACUUCCCCUUUUCGUGCCACUUCCUCCCGUACUCGUCGACUCACAGCCAAGAGUGACCAUGCCUUAGGACCCGAUCGUCGGCGCCAAGUCGCAAGACAAGUCUCCGAUCUCCUCUACUCCGUAACGGAGGUCACGACGGUGGAGUCUUCUCCGGAGAGAAGCCUCGCGCAAGGGAUCUUUGGCUGGGAGAGGGGAUCUGAGCUUCGAAGUCGUUGUGGUGGAAUCGCCGGUCCCAAGGGCCCAAUCUUGGUGGAGAGGGUGUGCUACAAACGGUGGUUUCGUCUUCCCAAGCCCUAAAGCCGAGUUUCUCCGUCGGUUCCCUUCACCGCUUGAGGCGUUUUCUGUCAUUGAGAUAAAAUGAGAUGUGGAUUGUUCGAUUAGGGUUAUUUAGCUAUGGAAUCUAUGAUUUGAUGCCAGGAUGGGAGGUCGGGCUAACUGAGGUCUGUGUUUUUGGCAGUGGCUCACUGUAAAGGAUUGGGCCACAAACCUCUAGCAGCAAAUCUGGUCGAUGGGGGUUCUUAGUAGCUGUUUUCCGGCAAUGAAUCAUUAGUUUGUAGCUUUGUAGAAGCGCUGGUUGUGGAUCUGUGGUAGCGAGCAACACCACUGUACUUGUGCCAGCGAUUUCACCGCCUAGUAGUGGGUCAACAGAGGUGAAUUUAUGGACUUUGAUCCGGGGGGGGGGGGUCAUGACGAAGUGGACAUUGGAUUCAGACUACAUUUAGAGGUAGCCAGUAGUUGAUGCCAGUACACUUGGAGGAGGAAUCCUGACUGCUGGUCCCACGUCGCUCCUGAGGAUGGAUUUCUGGUUUUAUUUAUCGUUUUAGUUAUGAGUUGAACUUGUGAACUUGGUAUUGUAAUAACUCGUUGUGGACUUGACAUUAUUUUGUAUUUGGCUUUGUUUUGUUGAAGAGUCAAGCCGGGUCGGCCCGCGGUGAGUAUUUUUGCUA